rnacentral:rRNA from 1 species
GGAAUUUUGGACAAUGGGCGCAAGCCUGAUCCAGCAAUGCCGCGUGAGUGAAGAAGGCCUUCGGGUUGUAAAGCUCUUUUGUCAGGGAAGAAACGGGAGUGGCUAAUAUCCAAUCCUAAUGACGGUACCUGAAGAAUAAGCACCGGCUAACUACGUGCCAGCAGCCGCGGUAAUACGUAGGGUGCAAGCGUUAAUCGGAAUUACUGGGCGUAAAGCGUGCGCAGGCGGUUUUGUAAGUCUGACGUGAAAUCCCCGGGCUCAACCUGGGAAUUGCGUUGGAGACUGCAAGGCUAGAAUCUGGCAGAGGGGGGUAGAAUUCCACGUGUAGCAGUGAAAUGCGUAGAGAUGUGGAGGAACACCGAUGGCGAAGGCAGCCCCCUGGGUCAAGAUUGACGCUCAUGCACGAAAGCGUGGGGAGCAAACAGGAUUAGAUACCCUGG